GACCAUAGCUAGCGUAUCCAGUCUUCUAUGUAUAUCUAUGGUCGGCACGUCGGGUAGCAUCUCUGGCUGCUGUUGACAUUGUUUUUGGAGUAAAAUACGGUGGAAGCUGAAUUAGUGAGGAUGACUCCUGCUCCUGUCAUCUCUAAGCUCCUCACACAUCUUUACCUGCACAUGAGGAAAAUCACUCCUGUACAAUGCAGAUGUUCAGAGGGAGAUGAUGCCACAUCUGGUCCAGCUGAUGGAAGGUCUUGAAGUUCUCUGACUGGCCUCGACUGAAGAUGGUCAUCUCACUGGAUUUAAGGUUCAGAUGUUCAGUAACAAACUCCACCAAUGAGCCAACAGGGAAGCUUUAGGUUUAUUAAAUGUUGCUGUGAAGGUAUCGCUGUUUUUCUAAGUUCUAAUUCAACUUAGAAGUAAAUCCUUCCAUCUGAAAGGAUUUAGUUGCAUUAAUAACCUCAUAACAUUCUAAUUUUUAUUCCAGUCUUGGCUGAAAAUAGAAUCUCUGUAUUGAUUCAGGUAAAAACUGAACUUCACAGCAUGUUGAAGCAAAACAACCAGAUGAAAACUGUGAUGGUGUUGGAUUGUCAGACCGUAAUGUUGCAGCUCAAAGCAGCUUUUCUAGCUCAGUUCAUUCUGACAUUCAGCUAUGAAUCAACACAGCAGAUGGUGAUCCAUGCUGUGGAAGUCUCACAUCUCCUGAUUUAAUGGAGCUGCUUUGCACUUUUUACACUGUUUAUUCACCAACACUUUAUUUAAUAAAAGUCCCAUCUAGUUUUUAUGAGGAAUGUGAUGUUUUAAUUUCUCUGUGAAUAACUGCAGUCUAAUGCAACAGCUGGAGUUGUAACAUCUGUCCUGAUAUUGAUCAUGAAGUAUUGAUCAGAAUACUUAUGGUUAGCAGUCAUCCCUGAAGUUUUAUAUUAAAAUCUUUACUUGUGUUGUGAACUUUGGUAAGAAGCAGAAACUUUAGUGUUGCCAUGGAUACAUGAGUGUUAAAUUCUGUCCAUGUUUCCAUUUUGGGAAAUUCAGUCCAACAGAUGAGUUUGUUUUUACUGCCAGCUACCAUUCAGUCUGAGAUAUUAAGAAUAAAUAAAUGUGCAUAAUGUGGAAAUGAACAGAUUUUCUUUUUUUUUUAUUCCUACAAGUGCUGCAGGUAAAAUUCCAGAAUGUGGUGGAAUUUAGUCUCACAGUCACAGACAACAAAUAUUAUCUGAAAGUCGGGUUAUUGUUGUUUAUCAGCACAAUACAAAAAGAUUGUUAGAAAUAUUCCAGUUAAGACUCUAGAAUAUCAUGAUUUAUGUAAAUUUACCUCAAUAAUAUGAAUGUUCAGUUUAAGAUUGUGCAGUGAUAUUAUGUAAGUUUAGCUGAUUAAAGUUUAUGACUCUGCACUACAAUAUUGUUUACAUUAUUAUUAUAUUUAGGGUCAGACCCUACAGUAUUGAGAUUAAGAAAUCAAAUAUUCUAUAAAAUGUAAAUACACUGAACUCAUUUGGAUAUAUUUAAGUGAGACUCUACAAUAUUAUUUGACACAAAUCUAUCUAAAUCAAAAUUUUAAUCAUUUUUACUCCAAACAUUUACUGGACUGAUUUAAAUAUUAAAAUAACUCAUUUCUAAUCCUCUGCUGUACAUUCAAACCUGAGGCCUUAAAUAGAAACACAGAAGUAUCUGAUUGAAGGAACUUCUGUAGAGUCCUGGUUCCAGAACAUGAUGAUAGAAUUAUAGACAAACUUUAACAAAAGCUGCCUGAGAGUUUACAGGUUUUUAUGCUGGAUUUCUUCAGUAAUUUAAUGAGCGUUAUCAGCAAUAAUAAAGUGUUCAUUUGAUGAACUUGAUUUCCUAAAACAUCCAGAAUUGGAGCUCAUAUCUUUGGCAGCUGUAAAGUUUCUGCUCCUUCAAAGUUCACAACACAAUGAAUGAAUUCCUAAAACACUCUCAAUGCUGGAGAGCAUUUGUGAUGCUGAAGCAGUGACCAGUUUUUCUGUUUCUUCUCUGGAGAUGCACAAUGAGGGACGUCUGCAGAGACUGAGAAAGAGUCUCACCACAUCCUGACAUGAGGAAAGAGACUUUAUUGAAGACUACAAUGAGAAAAACUAUCAGACAGCAGACAACAUGCAUUCACGGUGAGCUCUGAACAUUUGAUCUGGAACAGGAAUUCAAUAACGGCAGCAUGAGCUUCAUUUCAGUCUGUAGCUGCUGAAUUCAUGGAUGAAUCAUCUGGCACUAGAGAGGAAGACCAUCAAACAUCCACGUCACGUCAGCUGAUGGAGGUCCAAGAGUCUCACCGAACAAACAACCUACAGAGUAGUGAUGUUAGGAGACGUGCCGAGGCUUCGUAGCGUGUGCCGAGUCAUGGAGGGGGUGUUUCCAUGAAGCGCGUAUCGAGGCUUGCUUCAUUUAGGGGAGGAGCCAAAAUGAUGACGUCCAAAGCCUCGCUGCCUGGCUGAACCACGUGACUGCUUCUGAAAGUGGUUCAGAUUUUGCCGUGAGGUUUGACAGCAACAUAAACCCCCCAGGCUCCGUUCAAAAUGUGGGUUUUUGAUAGAGAGUUGCGGUCAGUGGAGAGUUUGAAUAGCUUGAAUACUAGAGUUUGGAGAGUGUUUAUAUAGUCUGGAUAUAGUUUGGAGAGUUUAGAGAGUAGAAAGAUAGUUUGGAGAUUUAGGAGAGUGAGGAGAGAAGGAUGGGUUUUAGGAAGGAGCCAUCUAGGAAGAGGAGGAUUUCCCCAUUUCGAUUUGAUAAUUUCUAAUCAGUUUAGGCUGUUAGAUUGUUCCAGAUAAGACAAGUACAAGAUUCUUCAGAGCCGUUCUACCACGAGCCUGACAGGAAGAACUCCAACAGCUACUGAAUGUUCCUGUGGUCUCCUCAAGGCUACAGGAGGAGUCCUACGAGGACGAGCCGGUCCACCUGAUGGUGGCCAGUUGCUGCGGUUCAAAGCCAACACCGACUACGUG